GAAUUGUAGUCUGGAGAAGCGUCCU
rnacentral:ncRNA from 2 species